GAAGUAAAAGUCGUAACAAGGUUUCCGUAGGUGGCACGUUUUGCUUCCGGAGCCCCGGCAGCGACUCUAAAUAAACGCCCGAGUCGGUCCUCGCGAGGCCUGGCGACGCCAUCAAUCUGGGCUGGAAGCAUCUUCGUGGUGCGAUCAGCAGCUCCUUGCCCCCUGGCAGCGAGUCCACAGAUCAAACGAUAGCGGCCGCCCAGUGCGGUUCAGAUAUGAUCGGCCCCAGCUGCGUACCCGCUGGCGAUUUUGCGGAACCUGCGGAAGGAUCAUUACCCGAGGAGGGGGGGCGACCCCCCAAUCUUACCGUCGGGCUCCGCUGUUCGCAGUCGACCCGGGGUCUCUCCACCCUAUGUAUACCCUACCAUUGUUGCUUUGGCGGGCUCGAGGCUUUGCCCCGCGCUCGCCAGAGGCCCAUUAAAUACUGCUCAUUAGUGAUGUCCGAGUCAAAAACACAAUAGUUAAAAACUUUCACCAACGGAUCUCUUGGUUCUGGCAUCGAUGAAGAACGCAGCGAAAUGCGAUAAGUAAUGUGAAUUGCAGAAUUCAGUGAAUCAUCGAAUCUUUGAACGCACAUUGCGCCCCUCGGUAUUCCGGGGGGCAUGCCUGUUCGAGCGUCAUUACACCCCUCAAGCGUAGCUUGGUAUUGGGUCCUCGCUCCCUGGGCGUGCCCGAAAAGCAGUGGCGGUCCGGUGUGGAUUCAAGCGUAGUAAAUUUCUCCCGCUCUGAAGAAGCCCCGCGGCCAGCCAAUAACCGCCCAACUUUCAAAACAUGACCUCG
rnacentral:rRNA from 1 species